rnacentral:rRNA from 1 species
UAGGGAAUCUUCCGCAAUUGGCGAAAGCCUGACGGAGCAACGCCGCGUGAGUGAUGAAGGUCUCCGGAUCGUAAAACUCUGUUAUUAGGGAAGAACAAAUGUGUAAGUAACUAUGCACGUCUUGACGGUACCUAAUCAGAAAGCCACGGCUAACUACGUGCCAGCAGCCGCGGUAAUACGUAGGUGGCAAGCGUUAUCCGGAAUUAUUGGGCGUAAAGCGCGCGUAGGCGGUUUUUUAAGUCUGAUGUGAAAGCCCACGGCUCAACCGUGGAGGGUCAUUGGAAACUGGAAAACUUGAGUGCAGAAGAGGAAAGUGGAAUUCCAUGUGUAGCGGUGAAAUGCGCAGAGAUAUGGAGGAACACCAGUGGCGAAGGCGACUUUCUGGUCUGUAACUAACGCUGAUGUGCGAAAGCGGGGGGAUCAAACAGG